GCGCCUCGCCCCCCUCGGCGGCGGGGAGGGGCCCGGCUCGCUCUUUUUCCGGAAUCUUCCAUCCUGGCGUCCCAGAAAGGCCAAAGAUUACUCAGCAGAUGCAAACCUCCAGAAGUUGGGUAGAAGGGAAAUCCGGGUAUUGGAAGUAAAGUCCCCUUGUGAGGCCUACUACAGCAUAUCGCAGAUGCGGCGUAGCACUGAGUGUGACAAAGCUGACAAUCCCAACUGGGUCCGCUCCCCACUCUCGCCCUUCCAGAGGGCACACGAAAUGGGAACUGGCCUUGGCAGCUUUGGCCGCAGUCAGAUGACUCGCUCUUCUUGGCGGCUCUUACUGUGCUUCUCCAGAGGAAAAGACUCUACAUCUCAUGGAAAAAUCAGGCUCUUCACUCUAUGCCCAAAACAUGCUGUACUCUUCCUUGAUGACUUUAUGAGUUCUUUUUGUACUUUUUUAAGUAAAAUGUGAGUAUCGUCACCUGGAACAAAUUGCAGGAAAGAUCUUCUGGACAGAUUUCCCCUCCUGGUUCCACAAAGCCAUUUCCCUUUUAAUCUGUGUACAAACCUACUUUUUAAAAUGAUCUGAAUGUUUCUGAACUAGCAAGAACAGUUCCUCCUUGCUUUAAAGGGUAAUUUGUGGCAAGUAUAGCAUAUUCUGGAAGCUUUUCUUUAUGUAAUCAUGUAGAGCUUAACUUCCACAUUUUUUAAAAGUGGGAUAAUUGAGUUGAAUUCAAAGCUUUUAAGCAAAAGGUCUGAUUCCAGACAGACAAGGAGGAAGGUUUACUUUGUAUUAUUUUAUACAUAACAUGUAUUAUGGCAUAUCUGAUAUAUUUAUAUAUACAUAAGUAUAUAUAUAUGUAAGUGUAUAUACUAUAUAUACCUCUUUCUAUCAAAUGAAUACAGGCAAUGUGCCAGAGUUAGUACAAUUGUAAAUUGUCAUUCUCUACUUAAGGGCUUUUUAUUUAAAUUCUCCUAAAAUAUGAUGAAUUAGCAUCAUCUCUCAUUAUUGAAAAAUAGGACAUAAAAACAAAAAAGGACAUCCUGCCUUCACAUUAGGUGGAGUGUUCCUCAUGCUGAUAUUGAGGAUAUAUGAAGGCUUAUUUCUCAAAUGUGGAUUGACUGGUUUAACUAGUAAUAGGAGUUUUUAACUGGGUCAUAAAAAGAAGUAUGAAUGCUCCCUUUCAUACAAUGGUCCUUUAUAUAUAGAAAAGAAAUUUCUGCCCUAACCGGUUUGGCUCAGUGGAUAGAGCGUCAGCCUGCGGACUAAAGG